rnacentral:tRNA from 11 species
UUGCUAAACGGUCAAGACGUCAGGCUCGGAAGCGGUAGGUCGUGGGCUCUAUCC